rnacentral:lncRNA from 1 species
GGGAAAUUACAAUUAUGAAAGAGCUAUCUGGUCACAAAAAUAUUGUGGGCUAUUUGGACUGUGCUGUUAAUUCAAUUAGUGAUAAUGUAUGGGAAGUCCUUAUCUUAAUGGAAUAUUGUCGAGCUGGACAGGUAGUGAAUCAAAUGAAUAAGAAGCUACAGACGGGUUUUACAGAACCAGAAGUGUUACAGAUAUUCUGUGAUACCUGUGAAGCUGUUGCAAGGUUGCAUCAGUGUAAGACUCCAAUAAUUCACCGGGAUCUGAAGGUAGAAAAUAUUUUGUUGAAUGAUGGUGGGAACUAUGUACUUUGUGACUUUGGCAGUGCCACUAAUAAAUUUCUUAAUCCUCAAAAAGAUGGAGUUAAUGUAGUAGAAGAAGAAAUUAAAAAGCACUGGGAUGUCUACUCUAUAAACUUUGUUUCUUCACUCUUCCUUUUGGUGAGAGUCAGGUUGCUAUCUGUGAUGGCAACUUCACCAUCCCAGACAAUUCUCGUUACUCCCGUAACAUACAUUGCUUAAUAAGGUUCAUGCUUGAACCAGAUCCGGAACAUAGACCUGAUAUAUUUCAAGUGUCAUAUUUUGCAUUUAAAUUUGCCAAAAAGGAUUGUCCAGUCUCCAACAUCAAUAAUUCUUCUAUUCCUUCAGCUCUUCCUGAACCGAUGACUGCUAGUGAAGCAGCUGCUAGGAAAAGCCAAAUAAAAGCCAGAAUAACAGAUACCAUUGGACCAACAGAAACCUCAAUUGCACCAAGACAAAGACCAAAGGCCAACUCUGCUACUACUGCCACUCCCAGUGUGCUGACCAUUCAAAGUUCAGCAACACCUGUUAAAGUCCUUGCUCCUGGUGAAUUCGGUAACCAUAGACCAAAAGGGGCACUAAGACCUGGAAAUGGCCCUGAAAUUUUAUUGGGUCAGGGACCUCCUCAGCAGCCGCCACAGCAGCAUAGAGUACUCCAGCAACUACAGCAGGGAGAUUGGAGAUUACAGCAACUCCAUUUACAGCAUCGUCAUCCUCACCAGCAGCAGCAGCAGCAGCAGCAGCAACAGCAACAGCAGCAGCAGCAACAGCAACAGCAGCAGCAGCAGCAGCAGCAGCAGCACC